rnacentral:tmRNA from 1 species
GGGGGUGAAAUGGUUUCGACGGUUUUGAAAGUCUCAAAGCUGCAUGCCGAGUUGCCGUAAACUCGUUAAACGAUGGCACAAAAUCAACUGCCAAUAGCAGUUAUGCUUUAGCUGCUUAAUUUUAAAGCAGCCCUCUGCUCUUGUUUCGCCUGUUGAGCAAGAGACCAGGGGUCACAUUAAACAGGCUACUUCCAAACCUUGCAUCGGGAGAGGAAGGAAACAAAAAGAUGCUGGUCUGGUUGUCAUCCAGUCUGAAGGAGGAUAAUCCGACGAGAACAAAGUUUGGACUAAGCAUGUAGACGUUUUGAAGUCUUCAUUAUCGGACGCGGGUUCGAUUCCCGCCACCUCCAUAU